UUGGCACUGGACCUUAAAAGAUGAGAAGAACUGGGCUUGAAGGAGGGAAUGGCUCUGGUUCAGGGCACAAGGAAUGGUAGAGCAAAGGUAAGGAGGCAGAUGGAGAUUAGAUCCAAGUGCAGAGGUCUGGCUCUGACAGGGGUGGGGUGGUCUGUACAGGGAAUCAGAGUGAUCACAUGACUGGCUGCCGGGGCAAGGAUGAUGUGGAACUCUGACUCAGUGCCUCUGGGUAAGUGGACUAGGUUGCAGCUGUGCGCCAGGUGAAUCUAGAACUCAACAAAUAAAUUCCCUUGCAAAAGUGAAUUUCCUGGGCAGUCUGCAACAGGGUUCCUCCCUUCCAGGAGCUCUCAUCCCUGUACAGGCAAAGUCUCAUUCAAUGCCCACAACAACCCUGGGAGGAAAGGAGGAAUUGCUAAGGAUUCAUAAACUCCAAAUACACAUGGUCUCAGCGGAGACAGCAGAGUGGGUUGGAAGGUCACCUGUCUCCUGGAUUUCAAGGCAAGCACUCUGGGAGGCAGCAGAGGUAGCAGAUAUCAAACUGUGCUUCCAGGAAUCUGGAAGUACGUUCAACUCAGAAUUCCUCACAUUGUUCACUCCCUGCAAAUGCACCUGGUUAACAAUGACAAUAAUACUGUCAUUGAUUGAGUGCCUACACUGUGCUGGGUACUUUAAAGGAAAUAAUUCAUUUCAUCCUCACAAUAAUCUUUUGAAGUGUGGAGUUACUGUCUUUAUCCUACAGAUGAAGGAACUGAGGCAAAGAGAGGUUAAAUAACUUGUCCAAGGUCACAUGACUGGUAAAUGGCAGUCAGGAUUCCAAACCGCGUAGCCUCUACUUCAACUCUCUCGCCUGCCUCAUUCCACAAGCACCUGCCCUCUGGGUAGAUCUGCGAUGGAUCCCCUAUAGGAAACAUCUUAUUCACUGCCUAUUAAGAGACUCAAGACUCCAAAGAGAUGUGGUCUGACCAGAGACAGUGGAGUGGUGUCAUGGCUGCCAGCCCCUGGAGGCCUAAUCGAAAUUCGACGGGAGCCUGUCACCACUCAGCCACAUAGCAGAACAACAGCCACAGCCACUGCAUCAGCACAGCACUCAACAGUGUGAUUUCCACUCUCCCAACCCCUGCGCUCCACACAUCAACCCCCAGCACAAGGGUACUCUAGGACAGGGACCAAGAAGCCUACUGAGCCUUGGGGAUCUGCACCCUCUUUUCUAGCCAUACCCUGCAUCCUGACAGUAACCAUCUCCUUAGUGGGUGAUAAUCUCUCAGGACUUACCAUACUAAUUUGGGAUGUGAUGGCAGCAUCCUCAUCUUGUUUCCUAUGUUAAAGGGAACGCUUCUAAAGCUUCUCCUCUACUAGGAAAAUCUUGGCCCAGUUGGCGUUUGGUUUGUCCUGUCUUGAAAGAAUGUCUCCCACCACCUUCCUGGGGGCUGUCUUGGACUUUCAGUUUCCUGCCUGAGAAAUGGACUCUUCCCUGCUGAUGAUGAUUAACAGUUUGAGUUGCAACUCCUUCUGGACAUACCAAGUAUCUGUGCCCAGGGCUUAGCCUUGGCCAGGCCACCAGAGAAAAAAAAAUACAACAACAAUAAAAGGAGGGAUGUAUUAUUUCCCUUCUUUGCUUAUCAGGAAGCCAGUGACUUUUAGUAUCAUGAGAAGUGAUCUUUGUUUCAUUUAAUGGGACUUGAAGUAGCCCGCAAGAGAAAUUGUUGACAUGAUUCUAAUAACAGUGGGGACAUGUGGUGGGAAAAAUUCUAAAGAUAGUCCCCCAAGAUACCUGUUCCCUGGCUAUUCAAUCAUACAUUGAUCUAUAUACUGGCAUAAAGACAUUUUUUCAGAUGUAAAUUUUCAAGUCAGUUGACUUUAAGAUACGGAGAUUAUCUGAGCUGGUGUUUUCUCUGGCUGGUAGCGGAAGAGAAUGUCAAAGAGAUUCAUAGCAAGAGGAGGAUUUGAUGCACUCUUGCUGGCUUUGGAGAUGAAGGGGCUCAUGUGCAAGAACCAAAGAGUGACUUCUAGAAGCUGAGAGCAGCCCUCAACUGACACCCAGCCAGGAAACUGUGACCUCAGUCCUAAAACUGCAAGGAACUACACUGCACCAACAACCUGAAUGUACUUGGCAGUAGAUUCUCCCCUAGAAACUCAGAUGACAACUCAGCUCAGCACAUAUCUUGAUUUGCGAGACCUCAAGAAGAGGACUCAGUUAAGCCACACCCAGAUUACUGACACAUGGGAACUAUGAGAGAAUAAAUGGGUGUCAUUUACAGCCGCUAAAUUUGUUUCACUACAGUAGAAAACUAAUGCAGGACAUCUAAUUGGCACUCCCAAAGUGUACUUCCAAAGCCUACAUCUCAGCCCUCUGCAUGCAUGAAACCAAGGUGGGCACACGAAGUUCCUGCUCCCCUCUCCAGCCCUGAGCAGUGUCACCGACUUUUGCUAAUGGGCUGAGGCUUCCGUGUGAUCUUCUGGUUGCUGAGCUACUGGAAAGAGACCCACUUGACUUGCCCAAAGCUGGAACUUCUUUCAGGCUAAUAGGAACAAUCCCUGCUAUUUUCAGAGAGCUGUGCACAAAAUGCUUCCAUUGUCAUUGUUUCACAGAGGUCUCACAGAGACCACCCCAGCUGAGCGGGUUUCUCUCUUGAUAGAAACAAUUAUAUACUCAUUUCCUAGAUGAAAACAAAAUGAGGCCCAAAGAGGGCAGAUGGUUGGCUCAAGGUCACAGAGCAAGCAUGUUAAAAAACUCCUGCUAUAAAACAUAACUUACAUUGGGUGACUAUUGGUGAAUUCCUCAGCUGGUGAUUUGCAAGGCACUGACCUUUUGCAGCUCUAAGCAGUCUACUGACAAAACCUGGUCAUCCAGGCUCUUUCUCCUCAUGUUUGUCUGCACUUAAUGAGUGGAGAUGCGAGGAUGCCUAUGAGCCGAGAUGUAUCUGUUUAACUUCUACAGUCACAGUGAGCCCCAUAUUGCCCCCUUGGCUUGCAAGGCUCUUCGCCCAGCUUGCCACAUGGCUGUCUCUCUCACUUCCUUCAGAGCUUUGCUCAGUGGGGCCUUCUAUAACCAUCCUGUCUAAAAUUGUAAUGCCCCUCCAACCCUACCUCAUGCUUUAUUUUUUUCUCUAUUGCAAGUACAUCUGAUAUUCCACAUGUUUUUAUUUCUUUGUCAUCUAUCUUCAUGAGAACAGGGAUUUUUGUGUGUUUUGUUGACUGCUUUAUCACCG
rnacentral:lncRNA from 1 species